AUUGAACGCUGGCGGCAUGCCUUACACAUGCAAGUCGAACGGUAACAGGUCUUCGGAUGCUGACGAGUGGCGAACGGGAGAGUAAUACAUCGGAACGUGCCCGAGAGUGGGGGAUAACGAGGCGAAAGCUUUGCUAAUACCGCAUACGAUCUCAGGAUGAAAGCAGGGGACCGCAAGGCCUUGCGCUCACGGAGCGGCCGAUGGCAGAUUAGGUAGUUGGUGGGAUAAAAGCUUACCAAGCCGACGAUCUGUAGCUGGUCUGAGAGGACGACCAGCCACACUGGGACUGAGACACGGCCCAGACUCCUACGGGAGGCAGCAGUGGGGAAUUUUGGACAAUGGGCGCAAGCCUGAUCCAGCCAUGCCGCGUGCAGGAUGAAGGCCUUCGGGUUGUAAACCGCUUUUGUACGGAACGAAAAGACUCCUUCUAAUAAAGGGGGUCCAUGACGGUACCGUAAGAAUAAGCACCGGCUAACUACGUGCCAGCCGCCGCAGUAACAC
rnacentral:rRNA from 1 species